CAUUGUGUUGAAAACAUAAAAGCCCCACUUCAGAUCAAUGGUUGUAAUUUUCUAGAAUUUCUAAAUUAAUGAAAAAAAAAUUCAUUUUUUGUUUAGAUUACAUGUACAUUAAAAAUAUUUGUAUAAUACUUUUAUCAUUGUAGCUGUCCAGAGUUUCAGGCAUAAAGAGUGAAUAAAUAAAAAAUGCAUCAUUUCUCCACAGGGCCUAGCUAUUCCCAGAUGUUGGAAAAUGGAUUCAUUCAGGCAGCAAGUUAAUCCAUCAUUUAAGGAAAAUGAAUUCAUUUUAUCCACAAGAACAUGAGGUGAUGGAAAUAAUUUGCACCUGCCCAGCAUUCCUACUGUCUGUCAUUGGAUUUGAAAAGAAAUGUUUAUUAAAUAAAUUUUCUAGAUAAAUAAUAAUUUGACUUUUUCAUAUAUUAACUGUACAGGUGUUGAA